UCCAUUUCGAUAACCAUUGCUUACCCUUGACAAAUUCAUCCAAGACCGGUCCAUUUCUUUAUUCUUGAAGUCUGAUGUUGACAAUAAAUUACAAGGGUAAGUUGUUCAGUUAUAACCUUAUAAAUGACUUAUGUAAGUUACGUAAGUUAUGUAAGUAAUGUAUUAUGUAAGUUGUGUAUAAUAUUAUUUAAGUUAUGUAAGUUGUGUAUUAUGUAAGUUACGUAAGUUAUGUAGGCUAUGUUUUAUGUAAGUUACGUAAGUUAUGUAGGCUAUAUUUUAUGUAAGUUAUUUAAGUUAUGUAAGCUAUGUAUUAUGCAAGUUAUGUAAGUAGUGUAUUAUGAAAGUUAUGUAAGUUGUGUAUUAUGUAAGUUACGUAAGUUAUGUAGGCUAUGUAUUAUGUAAGUUAUUUAAGUUAUGUAAGUUAUGUAAGUAGUGUAUUAUGAAAGUUAUGUAAGUAGUGUAUUAUAUAAGUUAUAUAUUAUGAAAGUUAUGUAAGCUGUGUAUUAUGUAUUAUGUAAGGUAUGUAAGUUGUGUAUUAUGUAUUAUGUAAGGUAUGUAAGUUGUGUAUUAUGUAUUAUGUAAGUUAUGUGAGUUGUGUAAGUUGAGUUAUGAUAUAUAUACAUAAUUAAGUUAUGUAUGUUACGUGAGUUAUGUAAGUUGAGUUAUAUAUAAGUUAUUAACCCCUGUAAGUUAUCUGAGUUAUAUAUUGGUUAUAUAUACAAAAUAUAGGUUUUAAUAUUUAAAAUACACAUAAAAUAGGUAAUAUAUCCAUACUAAUAUAGGUGAUAUAUUAAAAAUAUAGAUUUUAAUAUUUAAAAAUAUAAAAUAAAUAAUUAUGUUUAAAAUUUAAAAAGUUAUUAGUAAUGAAUUUGAAAUAUAGGUUAUAUUCCCAUACUAAUAUAGGUGAUAGAUUAAAAAUAUAGGUUUUAAUAUUUAAAAAUAUAAAAUAAAUAAUUAUGUUUAAAAUUUAAAAAGUUGUUAGUAAUGAAUUUGAAAUAUAGGUUAUAUUCCCAUACUAAUAUAGGUUAUAUAUUAACAAUAAAGUUUAAACAUAUUUAAAAUAUAAUAUUUAUAAAUAUUUUUAAAAUUUAAAAAAUAAUUAGUAAUGAAUCUGAAAUAUAGGUUAUAUUCCCAUACUAAUAUAGGUUAUAUAUUAACAAUAUAGUUUAAACAUAUUUAAAAUAUACUAGUUAUAAAUAUUUUUAAAAAUUAAAAAGUAAUUAGUAAUGAAUCUGAAAUAUAGGUUAUAUAUUUGAUUAAAAUAUAUAGGUAAUAUAGGUAAUAUUUGAUUAAAAUAUUAAGUAAAAUUAAUUAAUUAAAAUAAAUAAUAAAGAUAUAUUUGACCAGUAGUUCCUCGACCGCUAGCUAAGUCGAUGAUAGUAAAAAAAAUUCCAGCGCGCUCAUUUUCUUUAUAGUUACCACAAACUUUUCCGACAAUUUUAAGUCCCGUUGUAAAUAGGAUUAUUUUGACAGCAUUUUAAAGUGCCGGUAAAAGUCAAAUUUAGAUUUAAAUUUAAAUAUUAAUAUACGAAACAUUUUCAGACCUUCAUAAUUGUCAGAAAAAAAUCAUAUUCGCAUUAAAUAAACAGGAAUUUAUGGUCUGUUACCUUGACAGACACGUUGUACAUAUGCAAUCGCAAGAAUCAGUUCAUCAAUGGAAGCAGACUAACAACAAUACAAAAGUUUAGAAACCUUAGAACAUUUAGAUGAAAACCGAGUAAUCUUAAAUGCUUCAUAUAUUUUGUUAAGCACAAGAUAACCUGCUGAUUUAUAUAACCAAACUAACUUCAACAAAAUUAAUUGCUUCAUAACAGAAGAACUUAGUAACCAACUUCAACACACUUAACUAACAGGAACUGCACUGUCUACAGUGGGUUCAAUAGUACAAGUCUGUUGUUCACACUUUCUAAACAUUUCCUUAGGUAGAACAAUUUAGUCUGCAUAAUUUAUAUAAGUAGUAAACAAUAAAUAUGAUCAAAAAACAACAAAUAUUAAUAGAGUUAGUUGCAGACAGAAGCCAUUUUCAGACAUGGAUACUUAAUAAUAAGGUUAGUCUUGGAAUUCCUAAAUAAAUCAAUGUCUGUAAGGAAUGAAGAUUAGCAAGAUAUAUAUAAGUUCACCAUGAUAUUGCUUCGAGCCAUGAGACAAAACACAGAACUAAUCAAAACCAGGCUGUUUAAACUGAUGGUUGAUAUAAUUUUAACAUUUGAACCUAAAACACUCCAAGGCAAAGUUCUAAAGGCUCUCCUCAAGCAACUAAAGAUACACAAUAUAUAAGAAGUGCUGUCAUUGCAUGUGCGUCCAACCAUAGAGCAAACUUAUAUAUUGCAACGUAUACUAGACAAAAGCAGCAUUGAUUUAAAUGCAUAGAUAAAAUUGGCGAUUGCCAAGUUUAAAGCAAAAUGAAAAGAAAAAACCAGUGAGAGGUACCAAAUUAAAACAGACGAUAUACAACAUUAACCUAAUUCCAGCAAAAAAGACUUGCAGCAACAUUAACCAAAUUCCAAAUUAAAAGAUGCCCCAACUACAAAUAUACCAAAUUUGCUUCAAACCAGUGAGAGGUACCAAAUUUGCAGACUAAAUUGCUAAAACUAAAUUGCUACAGUCAAAAUGAAAAGAAAAAACUAAGAAAAAAAAUACUACUCUGCCUCUGCCUGACUACAUUGCUAAAACUGCAUGAUAUUCGAGACAAUAAUGCAGUAUCGAUAUAUUUUAAUUAAAUUAUAAACAAAAUAAUCAUCAUGAACUUGUUCAAUAAAACUGUUUUUACAUAAACUUAAGUGAAUAAUAAACUUUCUAAGUAUCUAAAUCAAAAUAUUAUAAAAGCGUAUUUUUUAUAUAAAAAUCUAUUACAUUAUAUGAGUACUAACUGUAUAAUACAUAACAGGCUGAUUAAACUGCAAAUAGGAAGACAAAACAAAGGUCCUGAUUCCUUUAACAAAAAACGAAUAGAAAGACAAAACAAGGUUUAGAAUAUGCUUUAAAAUCGUUUUUAAAAUCGAAAAUAACUUUAACCACAAACAAAUUAAAUUAGGCAUUCGAAAGCCUACAUUCUACGGUCAAAAUGUAAGACAGUCAAGUCGGUUAAAACCCUAAACAGACUAAAUUGGCAAACCUAGAAUUAAGAGAGAAGAAAACAAUACCUUUAGAAAGAUGAAGAGAAAUUAAAUCGGUUCGGAUCAAAUUCCACGAGUAAAUUCCAAAAUGCGAACGUUUUCGGAAACCCUAAAACCAAGGAUGAACUUCAAUGUUAACGAUUCAAACGAGUAAAUUCCACGAGUAAUUUCGCAAAAACCCUAAACACGCAAAAGAAAAAAAUAAAAGAAAUCAAACUGGUUCAAGCUUACCCAAAAAACAGAAUCUCCACUGCUCUGUCUUCGUGUAAAUGCCGUGAAGAAUCGAAUAAGUAACGAUAUAUUUGAAGAAUCGAACAAACAAAAAUAAAACCAACAGCAGUUUUACAGGAUCAACUCAGUGAAUGACUGGAAUUAGGGAUUUGGGAGAGCUUUCGAAGGGGAAUUAGGGAUUUGGAAGGGGAAGAUUUCUGUAAUUAGGGGCUGGGUGCAGGAAAGGGGAACAAAAAUGUCACUCUAAGCAAAACGAC
rnacentral:lncRNA from 1 species